rnacentral:lncRNA from 12 species
AUGAGGAGAACAGAGGGAUGGUUUGAAAUAUGCAGACGGGGGUCCUUAAUAACGCAGCACGGUUACAAACAAGAGUCAUCGUUGUUCAAAACUGUUUGUGUGGGGAGAAAUUUUUUGGUUUUGUUUUUUUCUCCAAUCUUGUGUAGUUCAGAGCUAGGGGGAAAAAGAGGAAGAAAGGAAGAAGGGAAGGAAGGAAGGAAGGAAGGAAGGAAGGAAGGAAGGAAGGAAGGAAGGAAGGAAGGAAGGAAGGAAGGAAGAAAGGGGAAGGGAAGGGAAGGGGAAAGGGAAGGAAGGAAGAAAGGAAGGAAGGAAGGAAGGAAAGAAGGAAGGAAGGAAGGAAGGAAGGAAGGAAGGAAGGAAGGAAGGAAGGAAGGAAAGAAAGAGAAAGAAAGAAAGGAAAGAAAGAAAGGAAGGAAGGAAGGAAGGAAGGAAGGAAGGAAGGAAGGAAGGGGGAGGGGAGGGAAGGGAAAAGAAGGAAGGAAGGAAAGAAAAAAAGAAAGAAAGAGAAGGAAGGAAGGAAGGAAGGAAGGAAAGAAAGAAAGAAAGAAAGAAAGAAAGAAAGAAAGAGAAAGAAAGAAAGAAAGAAAGAAAGAAAGAAAGAAAGAAAGAAAGAAAGAAAAGGGAGGGAAGGGGAGGGAGGGGAAAAGAAGGGAAGGAAGGAAGGAAAGAAAGAAAGGGAAGGAAGGAAGGAGAAAGGAAGGGGAAGGGAAGGGAGGGGAGGGAAGGGAAGGGGAAAGGAGGGAAAGGAAGGGAAGGAAAGAAAGAAAGAAAGAAAGAAAGAAAGAAAGAAAGAAAGAAAGAAAGAGAAGGAAGGAAGGAAGGAAGGAAGGAAGGAAGGAAGGAAGGAAGGAAGGAAGGGGAAGGGAAGGGAAGGGAAGGGAAGGGAAGGGAAGGGAAGGGAAGGGAAGGGAGGGGAGGGGAGGGGAGGGGAGGGGAGAGAAAGGAAGGGGAAAGGAAGGAGAGGGAAGGGGAAGGGAAGGGAGGGGAAAGGAAGGAGAGGGAAGGGGAAGGGAAGGGAGGGGAGGGAAGGGAAGGGGAAAGGAGGGAAAGGAAGGGAAGGAAGAGAAGGAAGGAAAGAAGGAAGGAAGGAAGGAAAGAAAAAGAAAAGGAAAGAAAGGGAAGGGAGGGGAGGGGAGGGAAGGGGAAAGAAGGAAGGAAAGAAGGAAGGAAGAAGAAAACAAGAAAGAAAGAAAGGAAAGAAGAAAGAAAGAAAGAAAGAAAGAAAGAAAGAAAGAAAGAAAGAAAGAAAGAAAGAAAGAGAAAGAAAGAAAAAAGCUAUUCUUCUCUAUUUCCUUUGUCACAAAUCUUGUUCAGUCCAAGAAAAAAAAAAUCGAAAUGCUGCGACAAGGUAUUUUCUCCCCCUCCGGAUGA